rnacentral:rRNA from 1 species
UACAGAGGGGGCAAGCGUUAUUCGGAAUUAUUGGGCGUAAAGGGCGCGUAGGCGGCCAUGCGUGUCUUUCGUGAAAUCCCUCGGCUUAACUGAGGACGUGCGGAAGAAACUGCAAGGCUUGAGUCCGGGAGAGGGGGGUGGAAUUCCCAGUGUAGCGGUGAAAUGCGUAGAUAUUGGGAGGAACACCGGUGGCGAAGGCGGCCCCCUGGACCGGUACUGACGCUGAGGCGCGAAAGCGUGGGUAGCAAACGGG